UACGUAGGGUCCGAGCGUUGUCCGGAAUUACUGGGCGUAAAGAGCCCGUAGGCGGUUUGUCGCGUUGUUCGUGAAAACUCACAGCUCAACUGUGGGCGUGCGGUCGAUACGGGCAGACUGGAGUACUGCAGGGGAGACUGGAAUUCCUGGUGUAGCGGUGGAAUGCGCAGAUAUCAGGAGGAACACCGAUGGCGAAGGCGGUUCUCUGGGCAUGUACUGACGCUGAGGAGCGAAAGUGUGGGGAGCGAACAGG
rnacentral:rRNA from 1 species